GGAUAUAUGAAAAUGAUCUUUCUCUUUCUUACUCUUUCUCUUUAUAUAUUCAAUACUUGUAAAUAUUGUGACCAUUAUAAAUAUAAAAUGUCUUUUAUAGUCGUUACUUAUUUGUGACAUGUUUUUAACGGAUUGCUCUGAACGGGAGACUAGUCUACAAGUAGCAUGUGCUCUUUGUUUAUCAACAAUGCUUAAUUUAUUCCACUAUUGAUCGAUAACUUAAUAUUCAUGUAUUAUUCAUUAGUUUAAGGCGCGAUCCAAGGUGCGCAGCCAAUUAAAUGAUUGUAUAUGCGCGUACGGCUUUCUUUUCCAUGCGCGACCCAACCAGUAUAAAUAGUCCGCGCGUGGGUUACUGGGUUACCCAGGUACGUGACUGACAGCUUUUUACAGGCUAGUACGCGACUACAGUUUUAUUUGCAGGGUAUUACGCGAAAGACUAUGAAUAUUUGGAAAGGAAGGCUUCGGUCCUUCGUGACCUAAUAAGGCCAGAAAGUCACCAGUGCCUCCGUAGUUUAAUUCAUAUAUUUAAUAUUGUAUAACGCUUAAACUUAUAACACAUGUAUUCGCCUAUCUAGAGGGCGUGAUACUCCGUAGAUCGUAUAAUGAUGUUUUAAUGAACUUGAUAUUGUAUAUAGAUAUUGUAUAGAAAGUGUAUAAAGGAUCGAGAGAGUUGGAGAAACAACUUUGUCGUAUAUCUAUAGUUUAUUAUCUACAUUUAUUUAAUGCAUAUAUAACAGUUUAUUACAGACAUGAGUGUAACUCCCCCCCCCCCCCCCCCUUUCUCCUUCUUCGUCCUGUCUUGGAAGGGACAGUGUGUCCUUCAACCUGGAAUGGACACAGAACGUUAUAUGUAUAGACAAUGCAUGGGCUUGUCUUGGAGGACACAGUGUCCUUAGAUUUGGACAUGGACACAGUGUCUCUUUUCUUCCCCCCCCCCUUCUUACUCAUUUGAAUUGCACUCAUUAUUGUAUAUAGCAUGACAUGUAUAUUAAUAGAAUGACAUUGAAUAGUGGACAGUUGAAUAUGUACACUCGUAGUUAAUUAAUUAAAUAGCUGCAUUUACGAGCCUAUCUAAAUCAGGCAAUUAUUACUUUACUACAUAAUUAAGAGGUGCGAACUUAAGACAGUAAGGGACGAAUUCAAUGGAAUGCCGGUUAUCUUUGAAUUUAGAAAGUCAAAUCUUAUACAAGUAUAUUCUGGAGUAAGUUAUAACUAGGAGAUAAAUACUCGAGGCUAGUUUAUAACAGUGAUGAUGGAUUUAUAUAGGUACAAUGUUUAACCGACAGAGUGUGUUAGCUUGUUACUUAAUAAAGGAGUGGAUAGACUUUUGAAAUCCUGGUCGGAAGGGUGUAUUGGUUUAAAUGUUUCAUUCUUGUAGAAUGGGGACGAUAGGGACACAUUGGCCAAAGGUGUCGGGCGCAGGUAGAUAGUUGUUUCAAGGGGUAGGAGUACCGAGAAUACUAGUAGUCGGUCAGAAUAGAGUUACUUGUAAUAGGAGUUAGAAAGAAAUGCUAACUUUGGUUUGAUAGCCAUGGUGGUUUGUAAAGUUCGUUAGAAAAGCCUCUAUCUAAGUUCAGUAAGUUUAUACAUGUACAUUAUUUAAAUCGUAUGCAGUCUAUACUAGUCAAUUAAGUGUUGACAUCCUGUAAAUAUGAAGCUAAGAAAUACUGUAUAAAUUAUAUAAGCAGUAAACAUUUAUUACAAUAAUUAAUUAAUGUAUAUCUAGUAGCAAUCAGUAAGUUAGUAAGUUCAUGGAA
rnacentral:lncRNA from 1 species